GCAACUGAAAGGCUCACUCUGAUACCCCGGAACCGUGAACUUACUUUAUCCCCAUGGCAAAUCAACUCCACGAGAAUUCUCAGCCUUGUGUGUUCUGCUGGAUCCCAUGGGAAUGGGAAGUGACACUCGGAGCUCCGAAACAGAAAGCAGGAAGUCGACAGAACAGACUUCUCUAGCUUCCAAAAUGCCGAUCCUCACCACACUCUGUCGUGGAUGAGAAAUACGACACAUUCGCUGUAAAGGACAGAGUAAGCCAUCCUCCAAAAAUCAAGAGGGUGAAAAAAGAGAAUAGAAGAGGAAAUUGUCGUGUGGUCUCAAUGAGAGAAGAACAGGAAAAGAAUAGGACAUCAUCCUCAUCAUGCUUCUUCUUGGCCCGGAGAGAAAAGAAGAAACCAGAUGCACAACAGUGCCUUGAUCAGAAGAAUGCGUACCUGCUGGCCAUUUGUGUCUUCCACAUCUCAGAGAAAUUUACACUAAAAAAAAAAAAUCCCCUAUCCUGGAAGAUACCUUCAACAUCACUCAAUAAAUGAAGCUAAUUACUCUUGA